AGUCAGGGAGCAGCUGGGCUGCGUCUGUUUGCUGUAGCUAUGUGGGCUGCAGGGUAGAAAAGAAGAAUCUCCAGCCUGGAGGAGGCAGAUGAGGGAGUGUCUUGAAGAACAGUGGAUGUGGGUGAGGGAGGCAGCAGGUCUUCUUCUCUCUGCUGAGGAGCUGUCGCUGCAGGGAAGCUCUCUCCCCAAAGGGCUUGGUGACACACAGGUGACGAGCUGGUAGAUCUGGCAGCAGCUGCGUGGUGCUGCUGCGAUCUUGUGCGGAAGGCUGUGUCUGCUGCUGAGCGCGUCUUGGGCUGCCUCCUGCUGAAGAAGUGACUGGACUGUGGAGGAAGACAACCCCAUCAUCUGCUGGCAGGAUGGCACAGGCCACGGGUGUGACACAGAUGCUGUCCCCAUCCAUGUGAGCUCUCUGUGACAGAUGCCAGCCCCAGAGCCCUAGCUCAGAGCUCUCCCACCGUGCUGCCCGAGCUGUAGCACUGGUGUGGACGACCUCACAGGGGCAACCCAGCAGGGUUCUGCAGGCUACAGGGUCUCCAAUGCUGGCAGGCACCACACAUGGACAGCCCACGGUCACUGCAGUGCUGGAGCUGCUGUGAAAGGCGCUGUUGGGCAGAGGCCGUGGGAAGCGACAGGAGGGGAUUCAGGCGGCUGCUGUGCGGGGGCUGGAGGUGGUGAAGUUUUGCCACGGACAGGAUGGAGCUGGUGUGGCUGCAGGUGAUGCUGAUCCACGUGCAGCAUGUCGCUGCCGUGACCUGGCUGUUUCCAGUGGUCAGGCUGCUCUGAUAACCUGUUUUAUGGGAUUGACUUCUCUCAGGCCUUCGUGGACAGCCCUGAGAGGAGCCGUGGUGUCUCCUCCAGCCAAAUGCUCAUCAACCUGCACAACAAUGAGGCAGGGAGGAAGGGCAGCCCCAUGCUCCCAGAGGAGUCUGCAUCCUGCUGCCUUUCCUGGCCCAGCACUGUGCUGAUUACCCUGAGCUGGCUCCUGCCUGCGUGGAGGGGGGUCCCAGCCUCCCCUCCACUCUUCUGUGCAGUCUCCUUUUCCUCACACCCCACCUAUCAUUUAGGAAAUAAUUCACUCUAUUCUGCUCUGAAGGGCUUCCCUGCC